AGCACCAGGAUGGUUGCUAAGGAGCUGCCCAGCCUGUCCUGAGUAUCAGGCAUGGGAGGAGGGGCAGAACUUACUAGCCUGUAGCAGCAGAAGCAAGGCAGGAAGAGGUUGAAAAAGAGCCUAACUAUGUCUAUUCUGAUAUCUGCUCAGAAGUCAGCCCUGUUGAAUUCAGAAGGGCUUCUUCCCAGAUGAACGUAGUUAGACUUGCAGCCUAAGAGUGGGCUAUGGAGCUUGGAAAGAAGAGAUUCUCUAUUUCCGAACGUCAUAUAACUCUGCAGUUUUACCGCAGAAGGAUCACUGAAAGUUAUCACUGCUCUACUUGACGAUAUCUCGUAAUCUUUGAUUGCUUAGAACUGUUCGAAGGUUCCUUCUGAGAACUGCCAUGAUGGUACAGCAAAUGAUCAUCCUUGACAAUGUUGGAAAAAUUAAAGCAUUAUCUGCAAGUCCUGCAAGGCCUCACAACUAUAGACUCCUUCUAUGCAGCUUGACACAACUUUAUCUCCUUAGUGAACCAGGAAAAAUAACAGGACAAGAAUACCACAUUAAUACUCCUUGACUUGGUCUUUAUGAACAAGGUGGUUAAAUAUAUGCUAUGAUUGGUGACUGUGGAAAACUGUUGGUGGUCACUCUAGAAGUCAUUCUGAAAUGGGAAUUCAACGCCACCUGAGAAGGAAACAUAGACAAUUGUUACUGAUAAAAUGUAAUUUCCCCUUCCUUCUCAUGCUCUGUAACUCCCAUUUGCCAAUGUACAUGUUUGUUAUACCUAUUGUGAAGUUUGACUGUGUUAAAAGUGUUUUUCUAUAUGCAUAAAGCAAAAAUGUAUAUUUUGGUAAACAAAUGAGGUGCUGGUACUCAUAUCUUGAUGAAAGUGCCAUGGGUGCCAGCAUAUAAUAACUGUGGUGGGCAGCAAGAAAAGAAAAGAGGUGCUGGUACCUUCUCUAUAUGUCCGUUGCCAAGUCUCAUUGUCACAGAUAAAGCUCAUCCACACUUCAUUUUCCCCAUUGGUUUUGUCAGUUAGUGUCACUCUAGGUUGGGGUGAAGAACUUCAGACUUGGGGCUGGAUGGGGCCCUCCAGGUCUCUCUAUGUGGCUCCUAGGACUCUCUUGAAGCCACACCCCUCUUCCAGGCUAAGCCCCUGAGAGGUAUGUGGGUGUGUACAGAAACCUUUGUCUAUUGCAUGGCUGGAAUGAAGCUUAUAGUACAGGGUAAAGUCACAGCUGCUGUUCCACCCGCUUUGCCUCUGGCUCCUCUCACAAGUAACGUGUGGCCCUUAAAAGUUGCAGAUGAAGGAAUGCAGACCUUGGGCUGAAAAAGGUUCCCCACCCCUGCUCUAGAUAGUAUCUCUGGGGUGGGGACAGAUUUGGCCCAGUGAGCUAACUCUUAUCUUAUUGAAUCCAUAGCUUUCCUCAUGACUGGCUCCAAUACAGCUGAUGAUCACAUGGCUUGGCCACAUUGAUCGGUCUUCUUUUCAUUCCAUUCUUUUGUCCAAAGCACUGCAAGGAUACACAGACUAAAUUACUUCUUGAUAUGUUUAAAAUGCUAGGGCUUGAGAAUCAUGAGACAGAAUUGGAACUGGAUUCUGGUGUGCAAACAACAAAAAUAGUUUUAUGAGAUCUCCGAUCAGAUUUCGUAAUACCAAACAAAUGUCUCUGGCCUUUUUGCUUAUGACACACCUACUCACUAUCUCCACCCUGAAUACCAGUUCUGUUUUCAGCUUUCAACAUUUCAAGAGCUACUCAUUUCCCUUCAAGUUAACAUAGCCCAUUACCUUACAGACAACCUUGGAAAGCUUGUAAGCAUUCAGCACUUCCAACCCACAGCAAUUAGGCUGCUCCAGCUCAAAAGAUCAAGGUAAUUCUUAAUCCAAGGAGAAUUCCAAACCUGAACUCAGAUCCUCCACUGCCUAUAAAUGGGGAAAUCACCUGACAAGUUGUGUUCAAACGAAUUGGGGUUUAAGAUGUGCAAUUUCAAUUUGUAUUUUGUUUAUCUACAAGGCCACUCCAUG